CAGGAUGAACGCUAGCUACAGGCUUAACACAUGCAAGUCGAGGGGUAGCAGGGUAGCAAUACCGCUGACGACCGGCGCACGGGUGAGUAACACGUAUCCAACCUUCCCAUAACUCAGGGAUAGCCUUUCGAAAGAAAGAUUAAUACCUGAUAGUACUUUUUCAAGGCAUCUUGAGAAAGUUAAAGAUUUAUUGGUUAUGGAUGGGAUGCGUCCAUUAGAUAGUUGGUGAGGUAACGGCUCACCAAGUCUUCGAUGGAUAGGGGUUCUGAGAGGAAGGUCCCCCACAUUGGUACUGAGACACGGACCAAACUCCUACGGGAGGCAGCAGUGAGGAAUAUUGGUCAAGUGGGCGAGAGCCUGAACCAGCCAAGUAGCGUGAAGGAAUGAAGGUCCUAUGGAUUGUAAACUUCUUUUAUAGUAGAAUAAAGUGAUCCACGUGUGGAUUUUUGUAUGUAUACUAUGAAUAAGGAUCGGCUAACUCCGUGCCAGCCGCCGC
rnacentral:rRNA from 1 species